AAAUAACAAGAGGACUGUUUUGUUAAAUUUUAGAUCUAGUCAGUAAGAAAGCCGUGUAUUCAUGUUCAAGGCAGUUUUUAUAAUAAUAGGGAAAAGUGAAAAAAAUACAGAUUUUAGGUUUUUGUUGAGUUGGUUAAAAAGUAUCGUAGAACUAAAAUUUUCACAGAAUAUUUAUAUGUAUUGCCUUGUUAAUAUGUUCUCAUUAAUUUGGUGAAUUGUAAGCUAUUUUAUUCAUUUUUUUUAUA